CAAAUAUUAUAUUUCAGAAGCUCUGUCUAUUUGCCUCUGUGUGUGUGAGUGAGAGAGAGACAGAAAGAGAGAGAGAGAGUUUUGAGGGUGGGUGGGUUCUAGACUUGUGACAUGACCAGAAUAAAUUAUAAAUUAACCAAAAACCUGUAAACAUGCAAACAAUAGUGAGAACUGAGCAUACUUGUUGAUCGAUAAUAUUAUUGUCUUGCUCAGCAGUCGCAGUGUAUCUAUGUCGAUCGAUGACACGAUUGUCGCCAUCACCAGUCACACGUCAUCUCUGUCGAGGUCUGAAAGCCAUGGACACCGCCCCACAGUAUUAACCCCUCAGAUGCUCACUCACGACAUGCGUGCCACACAAGCCACACAGUCACGAGCACCUGUUUGCUGCCAUCGAACUCUGGUACCACUCGGUGGGGGAGGAUGAGGAGCACCUGGAUAUACGCAGCAGAUGACGAGGCCUGCUACUCACACCUGUCCUGGGCGAUGAUGAGCAGGUUGCACGAGAUAAUCAGUCCACACCUUGAUGUUGCUUUCUUCCCAGCUGGCAACCUCCGCUGCCGUUUGUUGGCACCACACCUGACUCAUUCCACGCUAACCUUGAGAAGGACAAGUACAUGAUAGGGGAGAGACCGCCUCACCCACGAGCUCUCCGCGAGGGACGAGUGUCGCUUGGGCAACGUCAAGCGAUCCUCCAGUCGUCACUCUUCUCGCUGCAAUACGAUGAAACUCUAGUCGCCGGCUAUCGCGGUCGUUGUCUGUCUUGAAGGAAUGUUAGCAAGCUCUGAAAGGUUAAACGUGUUUUUAUUUUUAUCAUCGGUCUCACUUACGAUUCUGAAUGAGGGAUCCAUGUAUUUUGGAACUUAUGUAUGUGUGCGUGCUCGCGCCAAGAGGAGAAGACUGGCGUGACAGAGUUGCUUUAGUUGUCAAAUGGCGCCGCCUGUGUCACCAGUUAAGGUCAAAUUUUUAUUUUUCGUGAAAGAGUAGGAGCUUCGAGAACCGAUGUACAGUCGUGUUUCAGAUACAAUUGUAAAUAACUAUCAGAAGUUUUUUAUUUCUGAAAUCGCCAACGAUUCAAAACAUCAGCUUCUACAAUUUAUUAUUUUUAUA